UGCUGCUGUAACUGCAUCGUUAAUCGCAACUGUUGCUGUUGUGUAAGUUGUUGUUGCUGUUGUGGAUUAGGCGCCAUAACAUUAUUGCUACCUGCAAUGGUUAUAUCAGAAAUUAACAACACAAUUUGGAAGCAACAAAAAUAUAUCAGCCAUAUUUGAUUCGAAUAUUCCUGGGCAUUUCUGAUUGGCUAUUAUUUUGGACGAUAGUGCAUCCACGGGACUGGUACACCUUUAUAUUUACAUCAUGCAUGUAAUACGAAUGCGCAGUUGUACCAGGUGCUACGAAGGGUCGCAUCCAUCUAGUAGCAUGCGUGGUCCUCGGACCUAAUGCAGUCGGGUGAUAAUUCGGUGGCGCGGCUAUCUGUGGAUUGUAAGGCGGUCGUGCAGCAUUCAUUGGAACUGCCAUAGCCGGU